UUCGACUUUUCUAGUUUUCUUAUCUCGAGACUGGGUUUUCGCUUGUCUCCUUCUUUUUUUUCAAGAUUUUUAAUAAUUUUGUUCUUUUUUUCAUUUUUUGAAAUUCUGCAUACACAUCAAACUGAUCAAGGGAGACUAUAUAAUCCUGCAUUCUUUACAACUUAGCAAGUCUGACUCCUAUACUCGACCGAGUUACAUGCCACUAAUGUACACAUGAUCAAAUGAAGGCUUGAAA
rnacentral:lncRNA from 1 species